rnacentral:siRNA from 1 species
ACGCUGAGCCAACAGAGGACCUGC